AGUCGAACGGCAGCACGGACUUCGGUCUGGUGGCGAGUGGCGAACGGGUGAGUAAUAUAUCGGAACGUACCUUUCAGUGGGGGAUAACGUAGCGAAAGUUACGCUAAUACCGCAUAUUCUGUGAGCAGGAAAGCAGGGGAUCGCAAGACCUUGCGCUGAUUGAGCGGCCGAUAUCAGAUUAGCUAGUUGGUGAGGUAAAGGCUCACCAAGGCGACGAUCUGUAGCGGGUCUGAGAGGAUGAUCCGCCACACUGGAACUGAGACACGGUCCAGACUCCUACGGGAGGCAGCAGUGGGGAAUUUUGGACAAUGGGGGCAACCCUGAUCCAGCCAUGCCGCGUGAGUGAAGAAGGCCUUCGGGUUGUAAAGCUCUUUCGGCCGGGAAGAAAUCGCACGGGUUAAUACCCCGUGUGGAUGACGGUACCGGAAUAAGAAGCACCGGCUAACUACGUGCCAGCAGCCGCGGUAAUACGUAGGGUGCGAGCGUUAAUCGGAAUUACUGGGCGUAAAGCGUGCGCAGGCGGUUUUGUAAGACAGGCGUGAAAUCCCCGGGCUCAACCUGGGAACUGCGUUUGUGACUGCAAGGCUAGAGUAUGGCAGAGGGGGGUGGAAUUCCACGUGUAGCAGUGAAAUGCGUAGAGAUGUGGAGGAACACCGAUGGCGAAGGCAGCCCCCUGG
rnacentral:rRNA from 1 species